AAGUCGUAACAAGGUUUCCGUAGGUGAACCUGCGGAAGGAUCAUUAACACGUAUCCAAACGUUAAAACCCCCCCCGUGAACCUUCAUCCUGCUCUUGUAACCGGAUAGCGCUUCUACGAUUCCUGUAGACCGUACACUCGGGCAAGAGCUUUUCCAAAGGGUCCCCAUGCCCCCUAAUAACCCCACAGUUUAAUGUGAAGCUCAAUGUAAUACAUUGGGGAAAAAAACCGAACAACUGUUAACAAUGGAUAUCUUGGUUCUC
rnacentral:misc_RNA from 1 species